rnacentral:rRNA from 1 species
GACGAACGCUGGCGGCGUGCUUAACACAUGCAAGUCGAGCGGUAAGGCCCUUUCGGGGGUACGACGAGCGGCGAACGGGUGAGUAACACGUGGGUGACCUGCCCUCAGCUCUGGGAUAAGCCUGGGAAACCGGGUCUAAUACCGGAUAUGACUCCAUGACGCAUGUUGUGGGGUGGAAAGCCUUGUGCGGCUGAGGAUGGGCCCGCGGCCUAUCAGCUUGUUGGUGGGGUGAUGGCCUACCAAGGCGACGACGGGUAGCCGGCCUGAGAGGGCGACCGGCCACACUGGGACUGAGACACGGCCCAGACUCCUACGGGAGGCAGCAGUGGGGAAUCUUGCGCAAUGGGCGAAAAGCCUGACGCAGCGACGCCGCGUGAGGGAUGACGGCCUG